GUUGAAACACUGGUUCCUGUAUGAUCACCAAAGUUAAGCAAUGUUGAGCUUGAUCAGUACCUAGAUGGGAGAUCGCUUGGGAAUACCAGGUGCUGUAAG
rnacentral:rRNA from 1 species